rnacentral:misc_RNA from 1 species
UGCGCGGUACAAAGUUCAUGAUGUAGAAUUCGUUUAGUUCAUCCUAUUAGUUAGCUCGGCUCGUCCGAAAUCAAUAUCUUCAAAAUUUGAGAAUUCAAUGAAUUCCUAAUUGUAUUAUUAUUAUUAUUAUUUUUUUUUAGUCUAUCCAUAAUAAUAUGAAUGAGACUUCAAAAACUCUGUUGAUCUAUAAGAGAGCGUAC